rnacentral:ncRNA from 1 species
GGGGAAGUAUGGUUGCAAAGCUGAAACUUAAAGGAAUUGACGGAAGGGCACCACCAGGAGUGGAGCUUGCGGCUUAAUUUGACUCAACACGGGAAAACUCACCCGGCCCGGACACUGAGAGGAUUGACAGAUUGAGAGCUCUUUCUUGAUUCAGUGGGUGGUGGUGCAUGGCCGUUCUUAGUUGGUGGAGUGAUUUGUCUGGUUAAUUCCGAUAACGAACGAGACUCUAGCCUACUAAAUAGACUUGCAGUUUACACUGCAGUACUCCCCCUUAGUCAACCUGUGGGUGGUAGUAUCUCUUGAUGGUUUCGGCUGUUGAGGGCUCUGCUGCUAUUAGCCUACAGAAUUGGCUAGGGUAAGGAUGCUGUAGCACUGUAAGGACUUCUUAGAGGGACAAGCGGCGCUCGCAGCCGCACGAAACAGAGCAAUAACAGGUCUGUGAUGCCCUUAGAUGUCCGGGGCCGCACGCGUGCUACACUGAAGUGGUCAUCGUGCAUACUGUUUCUGCUCCGAAAGGAGUGGGUAACCGCUUGAACCCAUUUCGUGAUGGGGAUUGGGCAUUGUAAUUAUUGCCCAUGAACGAGGAAUUCCCAGUAAGCGUGAGUCAUUAGCUUGCGUUGAUUACGUCCCUGCCCUUUGUACACACCGCCCGUCGCUACUACCGAUUGAAUGAUUUAGUGAGGACUUCGGACUGGUCAAUCCAGACCAUUGGGAAACUAGUGGUCGGAUUGUGCUGGAAAGAUGUUCAAACUUGAUCAUUUAGAGGAAGUAAAAGUCGUAACAAGGUUUCCGUAGGUGAACUGCGGAAG